rnacentral:rRNA from 1 species
CAGUAGCCGCGGGAAAACAGAGGGUGCAAGCGUUAAUCGGAAUUACUGGGCGUAAAGCGCGCGUAGGUGGUUCGCCAAGUUGGAUGUGAAAUCCCCGGGCUCAACCUGGGAACUGCAUCCAAAACUGGCGAGCUAGAGUAUGGUAGAGGGUGGUGGAAUUUCCUGUGUAGCGGUGAAAUGCGUAGAUAUAGGAAGGAACAUCAGUGGCGAAGGCGACCACCUGGACUGAUACUGACACUGAGGUGCGAAAGCGUGGGGAGCAAACAGGAUUAGAUACCCCAGUAGUCCCUGUCUCUUAUAC